GAUGAACGCUGGCGGCGUGCCUAAUACAUGCAAGUCGAGCGAACAGACCAGGAGCUUGUUCCUCUGACGUUAGCGGCGGACGGGUGAGUAACACGUGGAUCACCUACUUAUAUGACUGGGAUAAUUUCGGGAAACCGGAGCUACUACUGGAUAAUAUAUUGUACCGCUUGGUGCAAUAGUGAAUGACGGCUUUGCUGUCUCUUAUAGCUGGAUCCGCGCUGCAUUAGUUAGUUGGUAAGGUAACGGCUUACCAAGGCGACGAUGCGUAGCCGACCUGAGAGGGGGAUCGGCCACACUGGAACUGAGACACGGUCCAGACUCCUACGGGAGGCAGCAGUAGGGAAUCUUAGGCAAAGGGCGAAAGCCUGACGGAGCAAUGCCGCGUGAGUGAUGAAGGCCUUCGGAUCGUAAAGCUCUGUUGUUGGGGAAGAAAAGAUGUGGAAGUAACUAUGCACGUCUUGACGGUACCGAAUGAGAAAGCAACGGCUAACUACGUG
rnacentral:rRNA from 1 species